GACGAACCGUGCGAACGUUGUUCGGAAUCAUUGGGCUUAAAGGGCGCGUAGGCGGGCUGGCCAGUCCGGGGUGAAAGCCCACGGCUCAACCGUGGAAGUGCCUUGGAUACUGCCGGUCUCGAGGGAGGUAGGGGCGUGCGGAACUUCGGGUGGAGCGGUGAAAUGCGUAGAUAUCCGAAGGAACACCGGUGGCGAAAGCGGCGCGCUGGACCUCUUCUGACGCUGAGGCGCGAAAGCCAGGGGAGCAAACGGG
rnacentral:rRNA from 1 species